rnacentral:rRNA from 1 species
AUUGAACGCUGGCGGCAGGCCUAACACAUGCAAGUCGAGCGGAGCGGCGGACGGGUGAGUAAUGCCUAGGAAUCUGCCUGGUAGUGGGGGAUAACGACCGGAAACGGGCGCUAAUACCGCAUACUAUCAGAUGAGCCUAGGCCGGAUUGGCUGGUUGGUGGGGUAAAGGCCUACCAAGGCGAAGAUCCGUAACUGGUCUGAGAGGAUGAUCAGUCACACUGGAACUGAGACACGGUCCAGACUCCUACGGGAGGCAGCAGUGGGGAAUAUUGGACAAUGGGCGAAACCCUGAUCCAGCCAUCCCGCGUGUAUGAUGAAGGCCUUCGGGUUGUAAAGUACUUUUGGCAGGGAGGCGGUAUCUGCAGAAUAAGCACCGGCUAACUACGUGCCAGCAGCCGCGGUAAUUC